rnacentral:lncRNA from 10 species
AUAGUACUCAACCAGUGAGGAACUGGGGGAGGAACUUGCAUGCUAGGAGAUAAAUUACCACUUGUGACUGUCCCAGGUGUGCCUUCCACCAGAGACCCAGUCUUGCAAGGCAGUUAUUAAAAAGUCUCACUUUCGCUGUUGUCCGUACCUCUAAGUCCAUUCUUUGGGUUUGGACACGUGAGUGUGUUUCUCACAAACCUGGGGGCCUGUCCGGGAUCUCUGUGCCUGUGUGGAGUGGGACUCCAGCUGAGAGGGGAGACGCGUCCCACCCGAUUUAGGUGGCCUACUCUGUCUGGGCAGUACAAGCUCCCCACAAAAGCCAUAGAUCAACUGGAGACUGUUACUCAGGAGACACUGGAGGUGACACAGGGAGAAAAGCAGGCACCGUGGCAACGAAGGCAACCUCUUGCAUCAGCCAAGGUUAAAAGGACUUCUGACUCAAACUCCACUUCUAGAGUUCAGGUUCAGCACUUCCAGCCCGGCGACUUGGUGCUGAUUAAGACUUGGGAAGAAGACAAGCUCCACCCAAACUGGGAAGGUCCCUACCAAGCGCUCCUGACCACUGAGACAGCUGUGUGAACAGUGGAACGGGGGUGAGCUCAGUAUACUUGAGUCAAGGGACUGAUGGAAGAAUUGUCUGAAGAGGAUGAGUGAUCACCUUCCAGGUGGAGUGAUGAGCCCAGAAAGGACCCAAUCAGAUGCCAAGGAAAACCUAAAGCACAAAAGGAAAAAAAAUGGCCAUACUAGAAAUUGAAUCUCAGAG